rnacentral:tRNA from 1 species
GGAGAGGUGACCGAGUGGUUGAUGGUACUGGUCUUGAAAACCAGCGUGGGGCAACUCACCGCGAGUUCGAAUCUCGCCCUCUCCGCCA